UACGGAGGGGGCUAGCGUUGUUCGGAAUUACUGGGCGUAAAGCGCACGUAGGCGGAUUGUUAAGUCAGGGGUGAAAUCCUGGAGCUCAACUCCAGAACUGCCUUUGAUACUGGCGAUCUUGAGUCCGGGAGAGGUGAGUGGAACUGCGAGUGUAGAGGUGAAAUUCGUAGAUAUUCGCAAGAACACCAGUGGGCGAAGGCGGCUCACUGGCCCGGUACUGACGCUGAGGUGCGAAAGCGUGGGGAGCAAACAGGG
rnacentral:rRNA from 1 species